ensembl:lncRNA
AAAUAUCCCUGUUAUGAUUCAAUAAUGCAAAAAUGUCAUUACCAAAAAAUUUUUUUAUUUAAUUAAAAUAUCAACAUAUAUGAAAAUGAUUGCAGUAAAAAAUGAGAAUCAUCACAUAAACGCAAAUUUCUAUCCUUAAUUGUCAUGAAAAUAUUUUUAAAAUUAAUAACCCUAAAAUAGGUUUUAAUUUUUUAUGCAAAAUAAUUAUUUCCUUUUAAUAUUAUGGUAAAUUAUGGCCUGGAGAUUGUUAUUACGAGAUUAACAUACAAUAUGUUACUGAUGGGCCUAACAGCAUUGCACCCACUAACCGAUUCAGCUGUUACAGCUUAAACUUCUUGAAUUUUUUAACUCUCACUACCAUUUUAAGACUUCUUUUUUUUCAUGACUUUUGUAAACUCUCAGUUAUAAUGUAUCAGCACUAAACUGUUGAAUGCAGCAUUUGUACACAGAUCCAGCAGCACAGCGUGAAACCCAUUACCAGCUCAGCCAUUUUGCAGUGCCUCUUCUUAACUGCACUAGACAAAGCACAGCCUUAUAUUUGGUAUCUAUACAAGGGACGUAGUGUCCAUUUAACACUAUAACCCACACAUUCAGAUCUGUCCAGUGGAGUAGUGUAUUUAUGUAUUUUGCUUUAUUUGUUUAUACAGAAAAAGAUUUUUUACUGCCCUUUAUAAAUGGAUAAAUUCAUACUAAUUUGUACAGUUUGGUAGGUCUCGAUUAGUUAAGUAUAUUUAACUAAUAUUGUGUGUUGCUAGCACUUACAGCUGUUUAUACUAGUGCUGACAAGUGCCUUGGAUAAGAUAAGUCCUCACCAAAAGACACAGGAUUUACUCCUAGUGAAAUAUGCAAUAUUUAUUGAUUGACUUAAGACAAGUAUGAAGAGGUUUAAGGCUUUGCGUUUUUUUAAAGGAACCUGUGAAUGGCUUCAACAAAGAAUGAACAAGACGCUGGGAUGAUUUCAAUGAUUGUUUGCGUGUUUGAAAUCAGACAUGAGAAUGAAUUUGAUGUUUUGAUAAUAAAAGAGUGGCUUUUACUGCAA